CCCUCAGUCAUUGGGGAGUAGCAACCCGCCCGCAUUCCGGGCCGGGCCCAUGUCAACACUCUUGGAUCCUCGCAUCCAUGGCAUGGGCGGCGAUAGGCACUAUCGCU
rnacentral:sRNA from 2 species